GAUGAACGCUGGCGGCGUGCCUAAUACAUGCAAGUAGAACGCUGAAGGAGGAGCUUGCUCUUCUGGAUGAGUUGCGAACGGGUGAGUAACGCGUAGGUAACCUGCCUGGUAGCGGGGGAUAACUAUUGGAAACGAUAGCUAAUACCGCAUGACAACAGUUGUGGCAUGAUAACUGUUUAAAAGGGGCAACUGCUCCACUACCAGAUGGACCUGCGUUGUAUUAGCUAGUUGGUGAGGUAACGGCUCACCAAGGCGACGAUACAUAGCCGACCUGAGAGGGUGAUCGGCUACACUGGGACUGAGACACGGCCCAGACUCCUACGGGAGGCAGCAGUAGGGAAUCUUCGGCAAUGGACGGAAGUCUGACCGAGCAACGCCGCGUGAGUGAAGAAGGUUUUCGGAUCGUAAAGCUCUGUUGUAAGAGAAGAACGAGUGUGAGAGUGGAAAGUUCACACUGUGACGGUAUCUUACCAGAAAGGGACGGCUAACUACGUG
rnacentral:rRNA from 1 species